rnacentral:rRNA from 1 species
AUGAUGAGUUUAUGUUUGCAUUUGUUAGUAACUUUAGGUUUGAGCAAACAUAACUGCUUUCAAUGCCUAUCCAACAGCAUACAGGAAAAGAAUACAAUCAUAAGGCUGAUGCUGCUUAUCAACAUCCUUGUACACAAUACCCCAGAAGGAUUUGUAGGUAGCCUUUUCGAAGUGAAUUUUACAUAUCUUUGCCAAGCAAGAGGUUUGACAAGAUCUCUAUCACCCAUGGAAACACCACCAGAAGUAAGGAUUAUAUCAGCAUCAGAACAUAGAGCUGCAUCCAUAUGCUCCACAAGACUUCCUUCGGUAUCUUUUGCAAUACCCAAGUCAACCACUUUACACUUCUGCUGA